UUCAGUGGUGAUGCCUCUGGAUGAUGCAGCUUGUCAGCAGCAUUUCGGCGGAUGCUCAUCCGCCGGCCAGUACGCGGGCGCACUUAGACACCCCGGCGGGCGCCAUGACACCCACAGGCACCACGUUGGGGACCCCUGCUCUACACUGUCACAGA